rnacentral:lncRNA from 1 species
CCUUAUGCCUCAACACAAGUCAUUUACUCAUCAAUCAACAAGUUCUUUAGCCAACCCUCACAUUCAUUUAAACACACACACACAAGGUGAAUUCUUGCAAAUAGGCACAUGAUCUCAAUCAUUUGGCUAGGUAAGCAAUGGUCUAAUAUGAAUGAAGAGAUGGGUUCAAAUGUUUUCAUUUAAAGGUGGUUAUCACUCAAAAUAAGGAGCAUGAUCAUUAUGCAAAAUUUAUCUAAGAUUAGAAGCAACUCAUGCAUACAUAGUUUCAUUCUCAUCAUUCUACCCCCAUUUUGUUAUAAGUGAUCACAAGUUCUACCUUUUUUAUCAUCAUCUCAAAAUCAAAAUAAACCCCUCACAUCACUCACCAAAUGAACAACUCUCUUUUUCUUUUGACUCAACCACUAGGGACUUUAAUUCACUUUUUACAUGCUCUAACUCUUUCUCAUCUCCUUCCCCACCUUCUCUUUGUUUCUCUUUUUUUUUUUUUAUAUAUAUAUAUGUGGGGGAAGGUUCUUUGUUACAUAAUCUAGAGCUUCACACUUUCUUUCUUUUUUUUUUUUUUUUUUUUUUGUCCCUAGAGUUUUCUUUUCUAUUUACAUUCUUUUGCUCAUCUCUCUCAUUUUUCUCACUCCCCAAAUCCAAGAUAUUGAAAUUUAAAACACAUAAACCCCUCUCACCAUCCCCAAAUGCUAACUCAUUGUGCUAGCAAGAGAUGAGAAUAAACCUAUGUCGCCUCCAAUACUCUCAAGAUUUUGCACAUGACAAGCUAUCAAAAGAGGCCUCACUCAUGCAAUUCAAUGUUUGGUCUCAAAGAAUGGUUAGGGUUUUAGGGUAAGGAGUGUCAUUUGGGUUAACAAAGAUAGGUAUGAAGGAAUAAAAUAACCCAAAUGUGUAUGAGAUCCAUGAUCAAGUAUGCAAAUGCCCAUAUGCAAGAGAGAUUAAGUUCAUUCAAGCCAAGUUCAGAUUGGAGCUGAUCUUAAGAACAAUGUUAACAUCAAGCAAACAACAUGUUUCAAGAAGAGUUUUCAAGGCUCGAAGCUUACAAGCUUUUUCAAGAGAUGCUUAAGCUACUUGAUAUGUUUAGCUAGGAUGUCAAACUGAGUUCUAGACAUGUGUUCUUU